rnacentral:rRNA from 1 species
GACGAACGCUGGCGGCGUGCUUAACACAUGCAAGUCGAACGGAAAGGCCCUGCUUUUGUGGGGUGCUCGAGUGGCGAACGGGUGAGUAACACGUGAGUAACCUGCCCUUGACUUUGGGAUAACUUCAGGAAACUGGGGCUAAUACCGGAUAGGAGCUCCUGCUGCAUGGAGGGGGGUGGAAAGUUUCGGCGGUUGGGGAUGGACUAGCGGCUUAUCAGCUUGUUGGUGGGGUAGUGGCUUACCAAGGCUUUGACGGGUAGCCGGCCUGGGAGGGUGAACGGCCACAUUGGGACUGCGAUACGGCCCAGACUCCUACGGUAGGCAGUAGGGGGGAAUAUUGCACAAUGGGCGGAAGCCUGAGGCAGCAACGCCGCGUGCGGGAUGACGGCCUUCGGGUUGUAAACCGCUUUCGCCUGUGACGAAGCGUGAGUGACGGUAAUGGGUAAAGAAGCACCGGCUAACUACGUG